rnacentral:rRNA from 1 species
AUUGAACGCUGGCGGCAGGCCUAACACAUGCGAGUCGAGCGGAUGAAGGGAGCUUGCUCCUGGAUUCAGCGGCGGACGGGUGAGUAAUGCCUAGGAAUCUGCCUGGUAGUGGGGGAUAACGUCCGGAAACGGGCGCUAAUACCGCAUACGUCCUGAGGGAGAAAGUGGGGGAUCUUCGGACCUCACGCUAUCAGAUGAGCCUAGGUCGGAUUAGCUAGUUGGUGGGGUAAAGGCCUACCAAGGCGACGAUCCGUAACUGGUCUGAGAGGAUGAUCAGUCACACUGGAACUGAGACACGGUCCAGACUCCUACGGGAGGCAGCAGUGGGGAAUAUUGGACAAUGGGCGAAAGCCUGAUCCAGCCAUGCCGCGUGUGUGAAGAAGGUCUUCGGAUUGUAAAGCACCUUAAGUUGGGAGGAAGGGCAGUAAGUUAAUACCUUGCUGUUUUGACGUUACCAACAGAAUAAGCACCGGCUAACUUCGUG